rnacentral:rRNA from 1 species
AGAGUUUGAUCCUGGCUCAGGAUGAACGCUGGCGGCGUGCCUAAUACAUGCAAGUCGAACGCGGGCACUUGUGCCCGAGUGGCGAACGGGUGAGUAAUACAUAAGUAACCUGGCCUUUACAGGGGGAUAACUGCUGGAAACGGCAGCUAAGACCGCAUAGGUAGGGACACUGCAUGGUGACCGUAUUAAAAGUGCUGCAAGGCACUGGUAGAGGAUGGACUUAUGGCGCAUUAGCUGGUUGGUGAGGUAACGGCUCACCAAGGCGACGAUGCGUAGCCGACCUGAGAGGGUGACCGGCCACACUGGGACUGAGACACGGCCCAGACUCCUACGGGAGGCAGCAGUAGGGAAUUUUCGGCAAUGGGGGGAACCCUGACCGAGCAACGCCGCGUGAAGGAAGAAGGAAUUCGUUCUGUAAACUUCUGUUAUAAAGGAAGAAAGACGGAUGGAGGAAAUGACAUCCGAGUGACGGUACUUUAUGAGAAAGCCACGGCUAACUACGUGCCAGCAGCCGCGGUAAUACGUAGGUGGCAAGCGUUAUCCGGAAUUAUUGGGCGUAAAGAGGGAGCAGGCGGCAGCAAAGGUCUGUGGUGAAAGACUGAAGCUUAACUUCAGUAAGCCAUAGAAACCGGGCAGCUAGAGUGCAGGAGAGGAUCGUGGAAUUCCAUGUGUAGCGGUGAAAUGCGUAGAUAUAUGGAGGAACACCAGUGGCGAAGGCGACGAUCUGGCCUGCAACUGACGCUCAGUCCCGAAAGCGUGGGGAGCAAAUAGGAUUAGAUACCCUAGUAGUCCACGCCGUAAACGAUGAGUACUAAGUGUUGGAAGUCAAAUUUCAGUGCUGCAGUUAACGCAGUAAGUACUCCGCCUGAGUAGUACGUUCGCAAGAAUGAAACUCAAAGGAAUUGACGGGGGCCCGCACAAGCGGUGGAGCAUGUGGUUUAAUUCGAAGCAACGCGAAGAACCUUACCAGGUCUUGACAUACUCAUAAAGGAUCCAGAGAUGGAUAGAUAGUUAUAUGAGAUACAGGUGGUGCAUGGUUGUCGUCAGCUCGUGUCGUGAGAUGUUGGGUUAAGUCCCGCAACGAGCGCAACCCUUGUCGUUAGUUACCAUCAUUAAGUUGGGGACUCUAGCGAGACUGCCAGUGACAAGCUGGAGGAAGGCGGGGAUGACGUCAAAUCAUCAUGCCCCUUAUGACCUGGGCUACACACGUGCUACAAUGGAUGGUGCAGAGGGAAGCGAAGCCGCGAGGCGAAGCAAAACCCAUAAAACCAUUCUCAGUUCGGAUUGUAGUCUGCAACUCGACUACAUGAAGUUGGAAUCGCUAGUAAUCGCGAAUCAGCAUGUCGCGGUGAAUACGUUAUGGGGCCUUGUACUCACCGCCCGUCA